GUCUCCGUGCAUGGUCUCUCUUGGUAUUCUGUAAUUUAAAUUGAAAGUUGCUCUAAGUGUAUAAACAGUACCCUUAUAAUAUUAUGUACCAAAGGAAAAUAAGAAUACUAGCAAGAUAAAAUUAACUGCCAGCUUCUAUCCAACAUGUUUAGGAUGACAACAGCACAAGGAAUAUGGUAUCUGGCAUAUGAGGGAGCACCCUGAACAGUGUUCAGGAGGGACUGCCUCAUGUAGCUUUUCUUUUCUGCUCUUCUAAGCUUGUUGAUUAUUUUUCAAGUCAUAAAAUAAAUCCCCAAACUCUUCCCACAGGCUUCCUGUUAUGGCAAUGGAAAGGAUUCUAGGAAAGGAUGCCAACAGGCCAGAUGUCAUCUUUUUUGGUGGGCUGUACACAUCAGACUGGACUUGCCUUAAAUGAGAUUCAGACAAUCCUUUUUGCCAAAUGCCCAACAAGAAAGGAGCAGUUAUGCAGAACUUGUGGUAGAAGGAGGGAAACUGAGGACCUUAGACAUCUCCGUCUGAUGAGUAACUGCUACCAGUCACAGCUUGGAGAGCUGGACACUUCACCACUCAGGUCAACAGAUGUCUGAAAAUAACAGCAAGAAAGAAAUGAAAAAGAAUCUCCCACAGAGGUAUGUUAUAUCAUUUCCCCGCAAGUCUUUUAACACAGGGUGGAUGAACAGCUCUCUAGCAUUAUGUGAAUGGGAGGCUGCCUAAAGGAAGGGAAAUGGGUUGGAUAAUUUGGGGACUCCCUCAGCUAAUUUAGAAAAUUCUCUGUUUUUUUCAAUGGUGUGGGUUCUUGGAAGAAAAUGAAGAGCAUGGGGAAGAAUCCUCAAGAGAUUGCAAGCUUUGAUCAAGUGUGCUCCUAAAGGGAAACAUUAAAGACAGUCUUUAAAACAAACAAACAAAAAACAAAUAAAAAGCCUAUUCUGAAAGUCCAUAUUAAAUUCUUAUUUAUAGAUACUAAUAGAUGGUAGCUCAUGGAGUUAGGGGCAAAGAGAGGUGCUUAGGAAAGGUCUGCUUCUAUCAGAAAAGGUAUGAUUUAAAAUAUUAUAAUUUAAUUUUAACCUAAUGCUCUUUUUGCAAAUAUCUUCCACCACCUUCUCUAAACUCAGAGCUCCCUAGUAUAAACAGUUUUCUGUGCUUGUUAUAGUAGAGUUACCUCAGGUCUCCAGGUCUCACUGGCCCAGGGAGGACAACAAAGCCAUUGCCAAACAAAGGUACAGUAAUGCCCAGAAUGCUCAUUGUAUUAAAUUCCUUCCAUCUGAUUAAGAGGACACUGGGGAGUCUCCUUUGUCCUCCUGAAAACCAUGAUGCUCUAUGCCCAUGCUGUAUGGAAUGUAUUAUUUUCUCUUUAAUUCCUAAUACGCUGUUCCCUGAUCACUGCAUUGGCAGCCUUGAGCUCUAAGUUUUCUUUCCUAGAGCUUUUAAAAUGUUUAUUUAUUUGACCCAAACUUUACUAGAGAUUCUAAUUCCAGAUUAAGGGCCUUGACUUCAGUAACCAGAUUCAACAGAUAAAAUACUGGAUCCCCCAUUAAAUUUGAAUUUUAGGUAAACAUUGACU
rnacentral:lncRNA from 1 species